rnacentral:rRNA from 1 species
GCCUCCCUCCGCGCCAUCAGACUCCUACGGGAGGCAGCAGUGGGAAUUUUGCGCAAUGGGGAAACCCUGACGCAGCAACGCCGCGUGGAGGAUGAAGUCCCUUGGACGUAAACNCCUUUCGACUGGGAAGAUAAUGACGGUACCAGUCGGAAGAAGCCCGGCUAACUUCGUGCCAGCAGCCGCGGUAAUAC